rfam:Aptenodytes forsteri contig31098, whole genome shotgun sequence.
AAACUUUUUGGUCACAAGUUUUACAAAGUUGUUUUCCCAGGGCAAGGCUCAUCCCCUGCACUCCGGGUGUGCUGACCCCUCCGAUUUCCCUAAAUGUGGGGAAACUCAACUGCAUAAUUUGUGGUAGUGGGGAACUGCGUUCGUGCUCUCCCCCA